rnacentral:rRNA from 1 species
AGAGUUUGAUCAUGGCUCAGGACGAACGCUGGCGGCGUGCUUAACACAUGCAAGUCGAGCGGUAAGGCCCUUUCGGGGGUACACGAGCGGCGAACGGGUGAGUAACACGUGGGUGACCUGCCCUUAGCUCUGGGAUAAGCCCGGGAAACUGGGUCUAAUACCGGAUAUGACUCCACGGUGCAUGUCGUGGGGGUGGAAAGCCUUGUGCGGCUGAGGAUGGGCCCGCGGCCUAUCAGCUUGUUGGUGGGGUGAUGGCCUACCAAGGCGACGACGGGUAGCCGGCCUGAGAGGGCGACCGGCCACACUGGGACUGAGACACGGCCCAGACUCCUACGGGAGGCAGCAGUGGGGGAAUCUUGCGCAAUGGGCGAAAGCCUGACGCAGCGACGCCGCGUGAGGGAUGACGGCCUUCGGGUUGUAAACCUCUUUCAGCUCCGACGAAGCGGAAGUGACGGUAGGAGCAGAAGAAGCACCGGCCAACUACGUGCCAGCAGCCGCGGUAAUACGUAGGGUGCAAGCGUUGUCCGGAAUUAUUGGGCGUAAAGAGCUCGUAGGCGGUCUGUCGCGUCGGCUGUGAAAACUCGGGGCUCAACUCCGAGCUUGCAGUCGAUACGGGCAGGCUAGAGUUCGGCAGGGGAGACUGGAAUUCCUGGUGUAGCGGUGAAAUGCGCAGAUAUCAGGAGGAACACCGGUGGCGAAGGCGGGUCUCUGGGCCGAUACUGACGCUGAGGAGCGAAAGCGUGGGGAGCGAACAGGAUUAGAUACCCUAGUAGUCC